UGGGGAAUAUUGCACAAUGGGCGCAAGCCUGAUGCAGCCAUGCCGCGUGUGUGAAGAAGGCCUUCGGGUUGUAAAGCACUUUCAGCGAGGAGGAAGGUGGUGAGCUUAAUACGCUCAUCAAUUGACGUUACUCGCAGAAGAAGCACCGGCUAACUCCGUGCCAGCAGCCGCGGUAAUACGGAGGGUGCAAGCGUUAAUCGGAAUUACUGGGCGUAAAGCGCACGCAGGCGAUUUGUUAAGUCAGAUGUGAAAUCCCCGGGCUCAACCUGGGAACUGCAUUUGAAACUGGCAAGCUAGAGUCUCGUAGAGGGGGGUAGAAUUCCAGGUGUAGCGGUGAAAUGCGUAGAGAUCUGGAGGAAUACCGGUGGCGAAGGCGGCCCCCCUGGACGAAGACUGACGCUCAGGUGCGAAAGCGUGGGGCAGCAAACAGGAUUAGAUACCCCUGGUAGUCCAGCGCUGUAAAACGAUGUCGAUUUGGAGGUUGUGCCCUUGAGGCGUGGCUUCCGGAGCUAACGCGUUAAAUCGACCGCCUGGGGAGUACGGCCGCAAGGUUAAAACUCAAAUGAAUUGAC
rnacentral:rRNA from 1 species